rnacentral:rRNA from 1 species
UACAGAGGGUGCAAACGUUGUUCGGAAUUACUGGGCGUAAAGCGUGUGUAGGCUGCUCCAUAAGUCGGAUGUGAAAGCCCCGGGCUCAACCCGGGAAGUGCACUCGAUACUGUGGAGCUCGAGUAUCGGAGAGGUUGGUGGAAUUCUCGGUGUAGAGGUGAAAUUCGUAGAUAUCGAGAGGAACACCGGUGGCGAAGGCGGCCAACUGGACGAAUACUGACGCUGAGACACGAAAGCGUGGGGAGCAAACAGG